GUGGCUAAUACCGGAUGUGCCGAAAGGUGAAAGAUUUAUUGCCUAGAGAUGAGCUCGCGUCUGAUUAGCUAGUUGGUGUGGUAAGAGCGCACCAAGGCGACGAUCAGUAGCUGGUCUGAGAGGAUGAUCAGCCACACUGGGACUGAGACACGGCCCAGACUCCUACGGGAGGCAGCAGUGGGGAAUUUUCCGCAAUGGGCGAAAGCCUGACGGAGCAAUACCGCGUGAGGGAGGAAGGCUCUUGGGUUGUAAACCUCUUUUCUCAGGGAAUAAGAAAGUGAAGGUACCUGAGGAAUAAGCAUCGGCUAACUCCGUGCCAGCAGCCGCGGUAAUACGGAGGAUGCAAGCGUUAUCCGGAAUGAUUGGGCGUAAAGCGUCCGCAGGUGGCACUGUAAGUCUGCUGUUAAAGAGCAAGGCUCAACCUUGUAAAGGCAGUGGAAACUACAGAGCUAGAGUACGUUCGGGGCAGAGGGAAUUCCUGGUGUAGCGGUGAAAUGCGUAGAGAUCAGGAAGAACACCGGUGGCGAAAGCGCUCUGCUAGGCCGUAACUGACACUGAGGGACGAAAGCUA
rnacentral:rRNA from 1 species